GCGCCCGUAGCUCAGUUGGAUAGAGCGUUUGGCUACGAACCAAAAGGUCGCAUGUUCGAGUCAUGCCGGGCGCA
rnacentral:tRNA from 2 species